rnacentral:rRNA from 1 species
CCAGACUCCUACGGGAGGCAGCAGUAGGGAAUAUUGCUCAAUGGGGGAAACCCUGAAGCAGCAACGCCGCGUGGAGGAUGAAGGUUUUCGGAUUGUAAACUAUUGUCAUUAGGGAAGAUAAAAGACUGUACCUAAGGAGGAAGCCCCGGCUAACUAUGUGCCAGCAGCCGCGGUAAUACAUAGGGGGCAAGCGUUGUCCGGAAUUAUUGGGUGUAAAGGGUGCGUAGACGGAAGAACAAGUUGGUUGUGAAAUCCCUCGGCUCAACUGAGGAACUGCAACCAAAACUAUUCUCCUUGAGUGUCGGAGAGGAAAGUGGAAUUCCUAGUGUAGCGGUGAAAUGCGUAGAUAUUAGGAGGAACACCAGUGGCGAAGGCGACUUUCUGGACGAUAACUGACGUUGAGGCACGAAAGUGUGGGGAGCAAACAGGAUUAGAUACCCCCGUAGA